UCCCUUAGUAACUGCGAGUGAAGAGGGAAGAGCUCAAAUUUAAAAUCUGGCAGUGUUUUGCUGUCCGAGUUGUAAUCUAGAGAAGUGCUACCCGUGCUGGACCAUGUACAAGUCUUCUGGAAUGGAGCGUCANAGAGGGUGAGAAUCCCGUCUUUGACAUGGACUGCCAGUGCAUUUGUGGUGUGCUCUCAAAGAGUCGAGUUGUUUGGGAAUGCAGCUCUAAAUGGGUGGUAAACUCCAUCUAAAGCUAAAUAUUGGCAAGAGACCGAUAGCGAACAAGUACCGUGAGGGAAAGAUGAAAAGAACUUUGGAAAGAGAGUUAAACAGUAUGUGAAAUUGUUGAAAGGGAAACGCUUAAAGUCAGUCGUGUCGGCCAGGGAUCAACUCAGUUUUAUCUGCUGGGUGUACUUCCUGAUCUGAUGGGCCAACAUCAGUUUUGACUGCUGGAGAAGGAUAGAGGGAAUGUGGCACCUUCGGGUGUGUUAUAGCUCUCUGUCAGAUGCAGUGGUUGGGACUGAGGAAAGCAGCAUGCCGCAAGGCCGGGUUUCGACCACGUUCAUGCUGAGGAUGUUGGCAUAAUGGCUUUAAUCGACCCGUCUUGAAACACGGACCAAGGAGUCUAACAUGCCUGCGAGUGUUUGGGUGGCAAACCCG
rnacentral:rRNA from 1 species